AGGAGAGGAGCUGCAGGUCCGGCGGAAAGCGCGAGGGCGGCUGUGCUGCGACAUGAUGAAAGAGGAGCACGAGGACAUUCUUCACUGUCAGAGUUUGCAGAGUCUCUCUGUCUAUUCUGAACACAACGCCUGGAGCAGAGGACAGCGUCUCCUCCCUGGGAGGACUAAUAUGGAGGAAGUACGCCUGGCCCUGCCCUCUCUCUCUCUGUCUGCGCGAGGAAGAAAAGAGCGACCACCGCGAGGUACCGUACGGCGCGAAGGAGACCCAGAGAGAACUAGCCUCUGCCGCUGGCAGCUUUGGGGCUUGCUGACGACACACUGAGCUUCUGUCAUGGCCAUAGUGGGACUCCUGUAGGGUGCCCGUGGGUUUGGGCUGCGUGGGCUGGAAGCCCCGGUCCUGUUGGACAGAGAACACACUGACGGGACAGAGCAGCUGCUCACACCCGCAUGAAAUGCAGCCAGAGUUAGAUUUUUCUUUUAUUUAUUGUUUUUUUGUUGUUUUUGUUUGUAUUGUUUGUUCGGUUAAUUCAUUGUUGUUGA